rnacentral:rRNA from 1 species
AGCGGCUAAGCUCAAAUUUGAAAUCUAGCACCUUCGGUGUUCGAGUUGUAAUUUGAAGAUGGUAACCUUGGGUUUGGCUCUUGUCUAUGUUCCUUGGAACAGGACGUCAUAGAGGGUGAGAAUCCCGUCUGAUGAGAUGCCCAUUCCUAUGUAAGGUGCUAUCGAAGAGUCGAGUUGUUUGGGAAUGCAGCUCUAAGUGGGUGGUAAAUUCCAUCUAAAGCUAAAUAUUGGCGAGAGACCGAUAGCGAACAAGUACAGUGAUGGAAAGAUGAAAAGAACUUUGAAAAGAGAGUGAAAAAGUACGUGAAAUUGUUGAAAGGGAAGGGCAUUAGAUCAGACUUGGUGUUUUACGAUUAUCUUCUCUUCUUGAGUUGUGCACUCGUAUUUCACUGGGCCAGCAUCGAUUCGGAUGGCAAGAUAAUGGCAGUUGAAUGUGGCUUCACUUCGGUGGAGUGUUAUAGCUUCUGCUGAUAUUGCCUGUCUGGAUCGAGGGCUGCGUC